UCAGGUGAGGCCGCAGGCUCAGCAGGCCCCACGCUGCUGGCUGCUGCUGCCACCCUUGCCUCCCGGGCUGCCCGCUGCUGUGGGGACACCAUGCCCCUUCCCAGGCCCGGAGACUAACCCCAAACCUGCACCAUCUCCGGCGAACCCCAGGGUUCCGCCCCAGCCCAACAGGUCAACCUGGGAAUCAUUAACAAGAGUCCCUGACAUGGCGAAGGAGGAUGAGGAACCUGGGGCUCACAGAGGAGGUUCCACUUGUCCAAGACCCCAGCCUGGAAAGGGUGGCCGGACUGCACCAUGCUGUUCCAGACCCAAGGUGGCAGCUCUCACUGUGGGGACCCUGCUGUUCCUGACAGGCAUUGGGGCUGCGUCGGACCCAGGCCCGGCUUUGUCGCCCUGCAGUGCAGCUCAGUCCCGGGGACUCUCGACUUUUGGUGUUGGACAAGACAGAGGGAACGUGGAGGCUGCUGUGCUCCUCACGCUCCAACGCCAGGGUAGCAGGGCUCGGCUGUGAGGAGAUGGGCUUUCUCAGGGCUCUGGCGCACUCAGAGCUGGAUGUGCGAACCGCGGGCGCCAACGGCACAUCGGGCUUCUUCUGCGUGGACGAGGGCGGUCUGCCUCUGGCUCAGCGGUUGCUGGAUGUCAUCUCUGUAUGCGACUGUCCUAGAGGCCGAUUCCUGACUGCCACCUGCCAAGACUGUGGCCGCAGGAAGCUGCCGGUGGAUCGCAUUGUGGGGGGCCAGGACAGCAGCCUGGGAAGAUGGCCAUGGCAGGUCAGCCUGCGUUAUGAUGGGACCCACCUCUGUGGGGGAUCCCUGCUGUCCGGGGACUGGGUACUGACCGCUGCACACUGCUUUCCAGAGAGGAACCGGGUCCUGUCUCGGUGGCGAGUAUUUGCUGGUGCUGUAGCCCGGACCUCACCUCAUGCCGUGCAGCUGGGGGUUCAGGCUGUGAUCUAUCAUGGGGGCUACCUUCCCUUUCGAGACCCUACUAUCGACGAAAACAGC
rnacentral:lncRNA from 1 species